rnacentral:rRNA from 1 species
UUGAUCCUGGCUCAGGAUAGCGCUAGCGGCGCGCUUAAUGCAUGCAGUCGAGCGAUGAGGCCCUCUUCGGGGGGUACAUCAGCGGCAGACGGGUGAGUAACACGUAGGUGAUCUACCCNCAGAGACGGGGAUAACGGGUGGAAACAUCCGCUAAUACCGGAUAGGCUUGUUCGGUCAAAGGGACAGGGAAAGGCUCCGGCGCUCUGGGAGGAGCCUGCGGCCCAUCAGCUAGUUGGCGGGGUAACGGCCCACCAAGGCAGAGACGGGUAGGGGGUGUGAGAGCAUGGCCCCCCACAAUGGGACUGGAACACGGCCCAUACUCCUACGGGAGGCAGCAGCAGGGAAUAUUGCACAAUGGACGGAAGUCUGAUGCAGCGACGCCGCGUGGAUGAAGAAGGCCCUCGGGUUGUAAAAUCCUUUACAGGGGGAAGAGGAAGGACGGUACCCCUGGAACAAGUGUCGGCUAACUACGUGCCAGCAGCCGCGGUAAGACGUAGGACACAAGCGUUAUCCGGAUUUACUGGGCGUAAAGCGUCUGCAGGCGGACAGGUAAGUUGGGCGUGAAAGCUCCGGGCCCAACCCGGAGAGGUCGUUCAAUACUGCGUGUCUAGAGGGUGUCAGAGCGGGAGUUGGAA